GCCGACACUGAUGCACACAAGCCUGAGAGCCUGAUGAGGACCUGGACUGACAUCCUAACUCUUCUCAUCUGGUUGAUACUCUGCAUGUUCCUCACCACUCUCAAACUCUACAGCAGCCUCUUGACACUAGUGAGAAAAGGACUUCUCCCUAAGAUGACUUCCUCAGCCAGCUGUCAGCUCCACCCAAGGAGAAGCCUGCCUUGGUUCCUGAUCUGAUCACCAUGGUCUGAGUGAGUGUGUAUCUGCUGGACUUAGAGCCUAAGUCUUGAGACUUUUAAUCUGACACUUGAGCUUAGCUUGCAGAGGGAAUGUCUGUCAUGAGCCUGUCAUGAUUAAGUGUGUUUGCAGUGCUUAUAAUUAAUCUAGAAUUGUUUGCUGUGAAUUGAUUAUGUCUAUUGCAGUGCCUAGCAUUAAGGAUUGUAAUUUUCUUGAUUAAGAACCUAUAGAGUGAAAUUGUAUUGUGAUUUGAGUGAAUAAAGCAUUGAAAAGGGC
rnacentral:lncRNA from 1 species